GACGAACGCUGGCGGCGUGCUUAACACAUGCAAGUCGAACGGAAAGGCCCUGCUUUUGUGGGGUGCUCGAGUGGCGAACGGGUGAGUAACACGUGAGUAACCUGCCCUUGACUUUGGGAUAACUUCAGGAAACUGGGGCUAAUACCGGAUAGGAGCUCCUGCUGCAUGGUGGGGGUUGGAAAGUUUCGGCGGUUGGGGAUGGACUCGCGGCUUAUCAGCUUGUUGGUGGGGUAGUGGCUUACCAAGGCUUUGACGGGUAGCCGGCCUGAGAGGGUGACCGGCCACAUUGGGCCUGAGAUACGGCCCGGACUCCUCCGGGAGGCAGCAGUGGGGAAUAUUGCACGAUGGGCGGGAGCCUGAUGCAGCAACGCCGCGUGCGGGAUGACGGCCUUCGGGUUGUAAACCGCUUUCGCCUGUGACGAAGCGUGAGUGACGGUAAUGGGUAAAGAAGCACCGGCUAACUACGUG
rnacentral:rRNA from 1 species